CAGCCGCCGCGGGAAUACGUAGGGUGCGAGCGUUAAUCGGAAUUACUGGGCGUAAAGCGUGCGCAGGCGGUUCGUUAAGACAGAUGUGAAAUCCCCGGGCUUAACCUGGGAACUGCAUUUGUGACUGGCGAGCUAGAGUAUGGCAGAGGGGGGUAGAAUUCCACGUAUAGCAGUGAAAUGCGUAGAGAUGUGGAGGAAUACCGAUGGCGAAGGCAGCCCCCUGGGCCAAUACUGACGCUCAUGCACGAAAGCGUGGGGAGCAAACAGGAUUAGAUACCCCAGUAGUCCCUGUCUCUUAUAC
rnacentral:rRNA from 1 species